rnacentral:rRNA from 1 species
UGGGGAAUAUUGGACAAUGGGCGCAAGCCUGAUCCAGCAAUGCCGCGUGGGUGAAGACGGCCUGCGGGUUGUAAAGCCCUUUAGGUGGGGAAGAACGAUGCCGGGUGAAUAGCCGGGUGUUAUGACAUUACCCACGGAAUAAGCACCGGCUAACUCCGUGCCAGCAGCCGCGGUAAUACGGAGGGUGCGAGCGUUAAUCGGAAUGACUGGGCGUAAAGCGGGCGUAGGUGGUGGUGUUAGUCAGCCGUGAAAGCCCUGGGCUUAACCUGGGAAUGGCGGUUGAAACGGCGCGACUUGAGUGGGUUAGAGGACUGUGGAACUCCUGGUGUAGCGGUGAAAUGCGUAGAGAUCAGGAAGAACACCGAUGGCGAAGGCAGCGGUCUGGGACCACACUGACACUGAGGCACGAAAGCGUGGGGAGCAAACA